ensembl:lncRNA
CCCGAUCCUGUGUGUGAUUGAGGAGUGUUGGAUGCUAGAAGGGUACAGCUGAUCACCUUUUCCAGCCCGUUUCUCCAGUGUCCACAGCAAGGGGACUUUCAGCUGCGUUCCAUGGACUUGGGGAUCCUGGCUUGUGGGCACCCCGGGCAGGGGAGGGGCCGGGAGCCUCCUCGUUAGCACCACGGACAGCUCGUGAGCCUGGAGGGGGAGGUGGGAGGAGAGCUCGCAGCGCCAGCGCGGGGAGGAGAGAGCGCAAGAGCGGACGGGCGGGGGAGGAAAAGGAGAGGUAAGGAAGGAGGACAGCGGCUCCCAGGCUAGAGGAAGGAAUCUGGAAGCAGUCGGAGCAGCAGGUCUGGGGAACUGUUCCUUUGCAGUGCCUCAGAGUUUGCAGACUCGCAGCUCGCCAGUCGCUCUGGGCGAGGGCUGCUGGCGGAGACCGGACGCCAGAGUUUAAAAUGCAAUGGCCAGAAGACAAGGAAGUAUCACUAGAAUUAUGUGGACAUGGACUCCGGGACUGCUGAUGAUGACUGUGAUCUUUUGGAGUCAGCAAGGGAAUGGACAAGGCCAAGGGCCACCAUUAAACAUGUGAUCCACCAUUGACCUCGAGGUCAACACAUGACCAUCAUGGGAAGUCCCCAAUGUCAGCACUGUCAGUUCAGUCCUCAUUUGUUCCUGUAAGUGAUCAGUGUUGUGUUUACUUGCUUUUCGUCCUAGGUAUACUUUCUCUUUUACACCACCUAACAUUAAAAGAGCAUUCUAAAAUUUAUUAACUCUUCCCCCACGAGAACAGAUUUGACAUUGCUUAAUCAUACGUUUUCCUUUCUGUCAAAUAUCAAUAUGCAAACAUUUACUGAGUACUCACAUAGGCCUGCUUGAAAAUUAAUUCUGUUUAUAUUAGGCCCAAUAUAGUAUAAUUAUAUAUCAUUAUAUACUUAUACAUGUAUUCAUAAUGUGUGUGAUACAUUAUACAUAAUAUAUUCUGAUCUAUUGAUUACACAGUUAUAUAUGUUUAUAUAAAUUAGUAUGAAUAAUGUUUUAAAGAUAAAGUUUGUCCAACUUCAUUUUUUCCAAGAAUUUGGGUGGGUAUUUUUUGAAACACUUUACAACCUAAAAUAUCCAAUUGGGCUUUAUGCCAUGAUGAAUUCUCUUUCAAUUAGAGAAAAAUCAUAAUAUAAAUUUUUACUUCCAUAAAUGUUUAAUAAUAUUAAAGAAAUACAUAGUAAAAACAGUGAUAAUUCAGCAGAAAAUUUGUGGCAUUAUUGUUUGCAUUCUCACUGUAUGUAACAUGAAACUAUUUUUCAAUAACUAUCUUGGUCCACUUCAUAUGUGGAAAAUAUUAGAGCAAGUGGAACUAGAAAUAUCAAUGGAAUUUUCUGAGUGAGCCGCCAAACAUUUGCUAUCUGAUUUUUCUUCCCAGAUUUGGGAAAUUUAAGACAUAGAAGAUGUAUGCACAAACACACAACCUAAAGAAACAUAUCAGCAAAUGAAUCCUUCAAAAUAUACUGCCCGAAAUUCCCCUAAAUGGUCAAUAUAAUGUUCCUAUGCUAUGGGUCUAGGCCUUUAAGUGACCAGGUGAAUAAUACAAAACAUCCAUAAUCCUCCACAGCAGAAACACUUUCUGCAGAAGUUGGCAUUCUUUAAUACUUUUCUUGUGUAUCUUUGUGACUACGAUGAUAUUAAGUUCAAAACAUUAGACAUUCAGUUUUAUUUUCAGAGAUGUGGAGUCAGCAAUGAAAAUCAUCAGGGCUGAAGAGAGUUAUGGGGAAAGCGUGUCCCAUCCCUCCAUCCAGCAAGAGAAGAAUUAAAAUAUUCUCCGCAUUACCCAAGGAUAAAAUAUACUGCUCCUUAUAAAGUUGUACCCUCUUCUCUCUACCAGCAUACCCACAAUGAAAUGAAGCCUGAAAAACUCCAGAAAGGAAAAGCCAUUCAUCCUCUAUCACCAAAUGAGAAGAUUAUGUAAACAUCUCUCAUUUCAAGGAACAAUUCUCCAUUCCCAGAACCAUGCUGACACCAUUUAGCUGGACGUUCCCACUCAAACUGACUAUUCGUUAAUCCACUACAAGAUGUUUGACUAUCAGUGAAGUUUGGGUAAGUUGGAGUUCACAAAAUGAUCAGAUAUGACAGCAGACUAAUAUAAAUCAAUGUGAUUUCCAUGUCUCAAAGCAGUGAGACAUAGAAUUAAACUGUAAGAAAAAGUCAUAUAGAAGAUGCACUUAAAAAGCUCUCUUAUAAUCCUAACUGGAUGGAACAGGGGUAAGAACCAAAAGUAAAAGACAUACAGAGACAUGGUAAUAUAGUGGAGAGUCAAGGAAAAAAAACAGAACUUUGUGAAGAUGAGACAAGAACACUGAAAUGUUAACAAUAAUGAAAAAUUUACGAAGAAAAAGACCUUAUUUAUAAAAAGCAACCUAUAAAUGAUAAAUUCAAUAGGUACAUUGUGUAACACGAAAAAUUAAUGGAGAUCAAGAGAGAAAAAUUCUUAUUUCAGACAAUAAAGAUGAGUUUUUAUUGUUGAGGGAAAAAUGACAAAAGACUACUAUAGGAAAAAAAAUCAAAAUAGCUGGAAAACUGUGGUAUUAAAUAAGGGAGUCAAAUAUUGAGCUGACCACUAACAUUCUUAUGCAAAUGAUAAGCAAAGUAAGAAAAAAUUCAAAAUCUCAGUGGUUGUUUAUAAAGCUCACUAAUUUAUUCUCUACCUUGUAGAGUUAGACAAGGUUCUCUAAAUAUGAAAUUUAUAAAAACAAAACUUCACCUAGAACAUACUGUAUACUUCUGUGUAUGUAUAUAACAUAUUAAUAAAAAGUUAUAUACAUGACACAUAAUAUGUUCUUUACCCACAUUAUCUUCCAACUUUUUGAAAUGUACAGUUUAUUAUUAUUAUUGCCUAUUAUCACCGCACUGUGCAAUAGCACACUAGAAACCCUUACUUGUAUCUAAUUUUAACUUCUUACACAUUGAUCAACCUUUUCCAUUUCUCUCUCCCCACCUCUCUCUCCUGUCUCCUGAUAACUACCAUUCUACUCUCAAGUCCUGUAGAAUCAACUCUUUUAGAUUCCAUACGUGACUGACAUCAAGUAGUUGUCUUUAUGUAAUUGCUUAUCUAGUUUAAUAUAAUGAUCUCCUGUCAUCCAUACUGUCACAAAUGACAGGGUUUCUUUUUUCGUGACUGAAUUGUAUUCCAUUGUGCAUAAGUACAUUUUCUUUAUUCAUCACUUGACAAUUAACAAAGUUUUUUCUCUGCUACAUGAGAAUCUGACCUUGAUUAACUCUUUAAUCUGUUCCCAUGGAAAAAUGACAAGCCCCAAAUGCCUCUUGUACUAUUCAGAACAUUUUUCAUAAUAAAAUAUCCCAAAAUUGGGCAAUUGAACUUGGACUGCUAAGAAUGCUAAAAGAAAUGUAAGUAUAUCUGGGGAACUCCAUACAUUGGGCCUUUCUGAGUGUGGAGCCUGCAGUCAUGACAUUUAUACUUUGUGGUGACCCUGUGUGUUCUGACCUUGCUGUUGCCGAAACACAGGCUCUGGUGGAUAGCUAUAUGGACUGUUCUGAGAACUUCAUGAGAAAUUCUUAAGGAGAAAAGCUCUCCAUGCUGCCCUGCAAGCCAGCUGUGAUUUUUCAGAUCUUCCUGCAUGGAUGGCUUUCUACUGUGCCUCGUGUAGUCACAGAAGUCAGGGUAUUUGUUUAAUUCUAAGAAGUUUCUCUAGGCAGCACUGCAAUUGGCAGCAGUAUACAUGACACAUAGUGAUAAGUAUUCUGAUUAGGAAAGAGAGGUAAGAAAUGUCAGAGAGUGAAUAUUCAAUGGUAGAAAUUGAAACAGACAACACCAAAGUAAAUGUUGAUCAUGGAGGACCUCAUGUAGUAGAUGACCUUUUAUAAAAUACAGCUUGAAUAUACCUAAUGAAAACAUUCAAAAUUGAAAAUGUUCAAAACUUUUUGAACAUUGAUAUGAUGCUCAAAAUUUAUCAGAUUUUGGAGCAUUUCAGAGUUUAAAAAAAAUUGUCAACUUAUAAAGUUUAUGCAAUAUCUGAAAAUCUAAAAUACAUCAAAAUCAGAAACACUUCUAGCCCAAGGAUUUCAAAUAAGGGAUAUACAUUGUGUACCUGAAAAGGGCAGAUGGGGAUUUCACAUCCCCAAACAACAAACAGUGAAUACAAAUUCCAUUAGGCUAUAAGCUCUAUGAAAACUAGAAGUCUUAUUUUGAAUACUCAUGUCUUCUGCACAAUGUGUUACAAUGCAUGGUAAAUACAGUGUAAAAAGGUGAAUGAAUUUUUCAAAUAUUAUGUAACUAAUAAGGGGCUGAGUUUAGAAGUCUUAGAAAACAAGACUUAAAAUUGUUUUACUUCUAAAAAAUCUAAAUGUUAGUAAUGAAAACAUCUCCACAAUUCAAUAGUAAUUUGCAUUUUUUUUGAUAGAUGGAACACAGCUCUACUUGACAUACUUGGAAUCUUCACCUUUUUUUUGAAAGUCUGAUAUCAUGGAUAAAUCAGUGCAGGUUAUUCAAGUUAUGGUUCAUUAUCUUCAUAAAUACAUGCUUUCUUCAGUAUCAUCACAUUCAUGUAUAUGUUUAAUAUGAUACUUUUGCUACAAAUAUUCAGGAUUUAAAAUAAUAAGUCUCCAAUUUUACAUCAAGGGACAAAUUCAAACUGAAUUUCUGCUGUAAAUAAUUCAAAUUGAUUUUAACAUUUUGUUUAAGAAAUGGAAAAUGUUUUCAUUUUAGAUAAUAUUAUUGUUCAGCCAAGUGAAUUUUCAAAAAUACAAAUUCAUCAGCCUGCAAUAUAUCUUAAUAAUCAUGUUUCUAGAUUUUUUGUUUUUUGUACUGGGGAUUGAACUUGGGUCCUUGCACUUGCAAGGCAGGUGGCAGAACCACUGAGCUAAAUUCCCAGCCCAUGUUUGUAGAUUUUUUGCAUGUUAUGAAUGUGGUUUUUGGUAUCUAGAAAUUUUCCUUGUAAUAUUUUACAUGCAAGCUAUAGUACAGGAACUGCUGAUGAGAUAUAAUAAUUGAAAUCAUUUUUUAAUCCACCAUGUAUAGAAUUAUAUAUAUUUAAAAAUUUGGGCCAGGCCUAACAAAGAUGUCCUAUGAUGAUUAGUAACAAGAUCUUUGGAAAAAUAGUAAAAUAGAAUUCAAAUAAAACAAAAACAAAAUAACAAUUCCUAUCAUGGCCAAUUCAUAGCUUUUACAGUGUUUAGUUAACAUUAUAUGCAUAGUAAUAUGCACUAUAUGCCUAGUAACACUAUAUGCAUAGUAAUUAUCAUUUAAGACUUUUCAUCUAGAUGAAACAAGGGCACAGUUUUAAUGUAAUAAAUACUAGUUUUUAACAUAGUAAACCUCAUGAUCUAAGAGGUAAUGACUAAAAAUGGCUGUUUUAAAUGCCAUGGCUUUGGGUUCAUUAUUUUUUGUGCAUUAAAUAAUGAUUUUAAUAAAAGUUUGGAGUUCAUGUCCUGAAAGCUAUUUCCUUUUAGCUAUUGCAUAUAACUCCUUGACUAGAGGGCAAAGUGAACAGCAUCUCAUGUUUUCCUUAGGCACUAUAUGAAAACAUUAAUUUCUUUCUGCUGCUUUGACAGAAUGCAGUACUGUAGGGCAAGUCAAUGCUAAAUGAUCACAUUUUCACUUGCAAUCAAUAUAGCUAGGUGACAGUGGGCAUCUAUUUUUCAUUUCUGCAUUCAGUAAAGUAAAAUGAUACGUGGAUUUUCUUCAAAAGAGCUGCUUUUAGGAAACACGAAUGAAAAUAGCAUUCCUAGCAAGCCACUGAGAAACUUCGUUAUUACUGUAAGUCUGUGACAGCUGAGAAAAUGCGAGUUUAGCCUUUCCUUUCCUCUCUUCAGUCUCUCAACGGGAUAAUUUGAAAACAUGUAACUUUACUUAAGGAGUUGGUUAUGAAUCAUGUGUGACAUAAUUAGCUUUAAGGAUCAUAUAUUUAGUCCUUGUAAAUAUCUCUGUGGACUCUUUGACUUCUAAAUACCCAUUAUGAUUUAAGUGAAUACCGCAGAUCUGUUUUUUCCUUUUUGCUGAAAAAAAAUCUAAUUACUAAAUUGCUCUAGGUCUACUUUUUGUCUAAUGCAUAUAUAUAUAUAUAUAAAAUUAUUAUUAUUAUUUUUUGGUAUCGGGGAUCAAACUCGGGACCUGGCGCUUGCAAGGCAGGUGGCGGAACCACUGAGCUAAAUCCCCAGCCCUGAUGCAUAUAUAUUUUAAGAUUUCUAAAAUAUGAGUGAGCUAAAUUACAUAAAUGUUUCAAAUUGCAGUUAGCUGGCUUUGACUGAGAAGCUGUAGAUAUUUGAUGUCGAAAUUGAAAUGUUAGACUGCUUGGAGAAAAUAAGUAGCAAAACAAAACAAAACAAAACAAAACAAAAAAAAGAGAAAAAAAAACACUCUAACUUUCCUACACUCUACAUUAUCAGUUACUGUGAAUAUCAUACUCAUUCCAAACAGGCUCAUGUUAUUUGUUCAAAUUCUGACAUUUUUCGGAUUAUGUUCCAGAGAUAGAUUCUACAUUCUCUUGAACGGUUGAAAUUUAGCUCAUCAGAAAACAGGGAGAGAGGGAAAAAGAAAAGUAGGUAGGGAGUGAGGGGGAAGGAAGGGAGCAGGCUGUUAAGAUUAGCUAAUUCCAAGUCUAGAAAUGACUUGGCCUCUCUAGCCUUUUGCUCAUGUCACCAUAAAUGCUUUCACCGAUAUAUUAGCCAAAUUUUUAGCAAAUAUGUCAGAGUAGUUUUUGUUUUUAGAUAAAAGAAGAUUACAAAUGGUCUUAUUUUGUUAUCAUACAGAUAGUGUUGUGCUCAAGAGCUCAUGAAUAGUAUUCUUGUGUUAUCCAUUAGAAUGUACACUGAGAAUAUCAAGUGGACCAUAUUUCUAUAAUUGCUUGUAAUUCAAUUACUUGGAAUCUGUGAAUCUCUGGGCAGUUCUUUCAACUUGAUUUGUUUUUUGGUGUCCAGGUGCUGAGUGAUUGUGUUAUACAUCUUAAUGGAUUCUGGAAUCCUAGUAUAGAAGAAAAGCAUUAAGACUGGUUCCAAAUUCAGUGAAAUCACUACAUUUUUAAAACAUUAUCUUUUUGUUUAUAAAUAAUAUGCAAAUACAUUCUGCAAGUAAAGGAAUUAACCACUAAAUAUCAAAUUGCAAUAUAGGGAAUUAUACAUGAAAACUGCUAUCUGCUCCAUUCAAUUUUAAAUUUAAAUAGUCUCCCAAUAGUGUGCAUCUUUGUAGUAAAUUUACAAAUGUUUACAUGCACACACAACUGGUAUUGUUUUCUGGAAAAAUAGGAUUAUAUUUCUGGUUAUAUUAAUUUUACAUUACAAUAAAAAUUACCACAGUUGUAGUUGGUAACAUCAACUCAAACUCAGUAACUCUAAGUUACAUAGAUCUGAGGUCUGGCAUGAUUUAACUGGGUUUUCUCCCAAUGAUGAAUUUAAGGUAUUGGUCAACUUUGGCUUGUACAUGAAGGUAUAGGGAGAAAAUUCACUGUGAUGUUCACUUAGAUUAUUGCUAGAAUCCAUUUCCAGCUGUAAACCAUCUUUGUUUUCUUGCUUAAUUUUGACCAAGGAUGACUCUGUCACUUGAGCUCAUCUGUAUUCAUUUUGAAAUGACUGCCUCCCCAAAUCUAAAGAUAUAAUGUAGUGGUAAGUUCCUCUCCUACUUCAAAUCUGCUUGACUUCUCAUUUACCCCCAUCAUUGGAAGACUCAUGUGAUUAUAUUAGUCUCAUUUGAAUAAACAGAUGACCUUUUUUAGAGUCACUGAUUAAUGCUUGAAGUGGAUAUGCAAGCAUCCUUUUUCCAUGGAACUUAUUUGCCUGGGAAUACAUGAAGGUCAGACAAUCAUGGAGGCUGAAAUUUUGCCUCCACAUUUGCAUUACUGUGAAACUUACUUUAUUUGUUUUUCUUUCAGUAGAC